rnacentral:rRNA from 1 species
UGGGGAAUUUUGGACAAUGGGGGAAACCCUGAUCCAGCCAUCCCGCGUGUGCGAUGAAGGCCUUCGGGUUGUAAAGCACUUUUGGCAGGAAAGAAACGUCAUGGGUUAAUACCCCGUGAAACUGACGGUACCUGCAGAAUAAGCACCGGCUAACUACGUGCCAGCAGCCGCGGUAAUACGUAGGGUGCAAGCGUUAAUCGGAAUUACUGGGCGUAAAGCGUGCGCAGGCGGUUCGGAAAGAAAGAUGUGAAAUCCCAGAGCUCAACUUUGGAACUGCAUUUUUAACUACCGGGCUAGAGUGUGUCAGAGAGAGGUGGAAUUCCGCGUGUAGCAGUGAAAUGCGUAGGUAUGCGGAGGAACACCGAUAGCGAAGGCAGCCGCCUUGGAUAACACUGACGCUCAUGCACGAAAGCGUGGGGAGCAAACAGG